CAGUCGCCACGGGAAUACGUAGGUGGCAAGCGUUGUCCGGAAUUAUUGGGCGUAAAGGGCGCGUAGGCGGAUCGUUUAGUCAGGGGUGAAAUCCCGGGGCUCAACCUCGGAACUGCCUUUGAUACUGGCGAUCUUGAGUACGGGAGAGGUGUGUGGAACUCCGAGUGUAGAGGUGAAAUUCGUAGAUAUUCGGAAGAACACCAGUGGCGAGGGCGACACACUGGCCCAUUACUGACGCUGAGGCUCGAAAGCGUGGGGAGCAAACAGGAUUAGAUACCCGAGUAGUCCCUGUCUCUUAUAU
rnacentral:rRNA from 1 species